UCCUAGCCCCGAUGGAAACGGCAUCCUUUUUUGCGUUGGCUUGAAAAAAGCGUUGGCAAAAAGAUAUAGUGGACAGCGGGAAAUAGC
rnacentral:sRNA from 1 species